rnacentral:rRNA from 1 species
GGGUGGUAAUGCCGGAUGCUCCAGUUGAUCGCAUGGUCUUCUGGGAAAGCUUUCGCGGUAUGGGAUGGGGUCGCGUCCUAUCAGCUUGACGGCGGGGUAACGGCCCACCGUGGCUUCGACGGGUAGCCGGCCUGAGAGGGCGACCGGCCACAUUGGGACUGAGAUACGGCCCAGACUCCUACGGGAGGCAGCAGUGGGGAAUAUUGCACAAUGGGCGCAAGCCUGAUGCAGCGACGCCGCGUGAGGGAUGGAGGCCUUCGGGUUGUAAACCUCUUUUAUCGGGGAGCAAGCGAGAGUGAGUUUACCCGUUGAAUAAGCACCGGCUAACUACGUGCCAGCAGCCGCGGUAAUACGUAGGGUGCAAGCGUUAUCCGGAAUUAUUGGGCGUAAAGGGCUCGUAGGCGGUUCGUCGCGUCCGGUGUGAAAGUCCAUCGCUUAACGGUGGAUCCGCGCCGGGUACGGGCGGGCUUGAGUGCGGUAGGGGAGACUGGAAUUCCCGGUGUAACGGUGGAAUGUGUAGAUAUCGAAAAAAAAACACC